GUAAAKCGAGUGUAGKUGGSUCAUUAAGUCACAUGUGAAAUCCCCGGGCUUAACCUGGGAACURCAUGUGAUACAUGGUGGUGCUAGAAUAUGUGAGAGGGAAGUAGAAUUCCAGGUGUAGCGGUGAAAUGCGUAGAGAUCUGGAGGAAUACCGAUGGCGAAKGCAGCUUCCUGGCAUAAUAUUGACACUSAGAAWCGAAAGCGUGGAUAGCAAA
rnacentral:rRNA from 1 species